rnacentral:tRNA from 1 species
GCCCGAUUGGUGUAACGGUUAUCACACUUCACUACGACUCUCCUGAGGGAUGAAGGGGUUGCGGAUUCGAAUUCCGCAUUGGGUU